rnacentral:lncRNA from 1 species
GUUUUGAGCAGCUGAAAUGUGUGAAAUGUCUAAAUUAAUGUUACUUACCAGGUGUUCACAUGUAUAUAACAGAUGUUAUGUGAAAACUGUAUUACUAACUUUUUUUUUUUUUUAACUUUACAGAGUGCCCAAUUCUACAAAGUAACCACAGAGCAAUACCAGAAAGCUGCCGACGAAGUGUCAGCCAGGUUCAAGCGAUAUGAGACUCAACCAGUCUGUGCUGAUCUUCAGGGCAAAAUUCUGCAGUGUUACCAGCAACAUGCUCAGGAGACCCUCAGCUGCUCUGCACUGGCUAGCCAGUACCUGCAUUGUGUCAAUCAUGCCAAACAGAGCAUGCUUGGGAGAGGAGGAUAAAGGCAUUGUCCAAAUCAAGCACAAGACCAUCAACUCUAAUUUCAGCAGAAGAGCAUUUUUUCCCAAGAAUGAUAUGACAGCCCAUUUACAGGGCAGACCAAUAAAGAGAAGAACUGGAAGAGCCAUUUCAAGAGCAGCAGCCAUCACGGCUCAAUCAGUGUGGCCAUUUGAAAAGCCAAGACCUAUAUCUUAUUACAUCAGAAAUCAUACAUCCGAAGACACUGUUCAGUCUUAGUAAAAUCCACUUAUUGGUGAUUGAAGAAAGGAAAAGAAAAGAACCUCUCACUGACCUUAGAAAGGGGAAAUAUCCUUCAAAUGCUGCUAUUUCAUUGCAGAAUCUCCUCAAAAACUUCUCACUGUCAGAGACAUGGGUAUGUAACACUUGGUGUGCCGGACGUGGCAGUGCAUUGUAAGUCAGCUGCUGCUCCUCUCCGUAUUUGUUGCUUAUAUAAAGUUUUUCUUACAGUGGAUAAUGACAUAAAUUUUACUUUAACUUAUUUCGUAAAUGAUGUAGUCUAAUGAAGUCCCUCAUCAGGCCUUCUGCUGGAAUGAUGUUAAUGAUCCAACGCUUACGAUUUAACACGGCCUUCAUGAAAUGAUUCUGUUGUGCUCUUCACUCUGAUAAAGUACUGAUGAAUAUGCCUCGUUCUGUACCAACAAUAAAUAUAUUUUAUGAACAAAGUUAAUGUUUCA